CCCAUCUAGGACAUGAUGUUACAUUUAGUCAUCAUGUCUCCUUAAGCUUCUCUUGUCUGCGACAGUUUCUCAGACUUUCCUUAUUUCUGUAGACCUUGGCAGUUUUGAGGACUACUCAAACUGGUCAGCUUCUUCAACGAGUUCAGGGUGGUUGUACCAACUCCUGGCUUCACACACAAAUUCCACUAGAAGGGAUGCUUUAAGGGCACGAUCCAGAAGUUGCCCUCAUCUGGCAACAACCCAUAUGACUGUGGACAAGAGAACUGAUAAAUAAAGAGUGCACAUAUACCAAGAGCCAAGGAUACUGAGGUGAAUGAAAUUGAUCAUGCCCUUGAGGAGGU